AGUUUCAAGACGCGUAGCUGUCCUUUAUCCAUCUGAUUCGCGGUUUCGGCGAAGCGCGGCACUACUUUCGCCGGUGGAUGUGAUUUGAUCCCGGCGGUUGCGCGGUCGCAGAUUCCCUAUGGUGGAAUGUGGAUGCUGUGCGCGGUGGUUUGUUUCGUACGUGAAUUCAGAUUCGUUUCGUCAGUGAUAAAGCAUCCAGACCUGUCAAGCGAAUCGUCCUUAUAAGCUAGCAGCUGUUUCGUCUGAUAAUGUUGCUUGACAGAACGUACGUGCACAUUGACAAUUAGGCGCCAACCAGCGUAGAGUGGUCGAGCACGGGCUAGUAAACAAAUGACACAACGGCGACCGAGAGGGAGGAGAGAGGAAAGGAGGGAAACGAAACAUUACCAUAUCGUUCCAGCGCGAAAUAGUAGCGCAACAUUGUGCCUUUCGAUUUGCGUUGUUCGAUUUCUUCGGUCAUUAAGGGAACGCCAACCCAUGCGUUUUUCAGCUGGUUAACGCGCGUGGAAUGUGCCCAUGCAUUGUCGUCGUGACGUCAAAUGUCAUGAGCCUUUUGCCAAGUGUCGUAUAUCAGCUGUGUGCCAGCUGCAUAUUCAGCCUGUCAACUUUGUUUCUUUUAAUGCUGAAUUUGUUGCCGCCUGAAAAGUGUUAAUACACAUAUAUAUAGGCCUAUAACAAGUCAUUGAAAUUGUGCGCGAAUUCGAAGUUAUUUUUGUGUAAGAACGUUCGAAAACGUAUUUAUGCGGGUAAUAUUGCAUUUCGUACACGUUGAAAUGCGAGUGAAACUUUUAUAAAGUUUAAAGUCCUUUAAAUCAAAGUGGUCGAAGGCAAUUACAUUUACGUUUAUUAUAUAUACACGCAUAUAUAUAACGGUAUUAUAUAUCGUGUACCGGCUAGCGGGCCAUUUAAAUCUUAACAAAUCUUGAUUUCUUUUUCGCAUCGUUUUAGUUUCAUUUGACUGCCCUUCGCAUUUCAUUCAUUCUUUUUAACGAAACGGAGUUUAUUUCACUUCAAAUGUUCGUAACGUGUAAUUGCUUCUAUAUUGCUCAUAAUUAUGAGAACGUGAUUGUGAAGUUUGAUUGUGAUUUAUGGUGAGACAUUCAAUUGUUUUUCUUCCGUGCUGUUUUUGCUUUUUGUGCCAGCUUUUUCAUGCUUUAAGGUUAAAAAAUUAUGUAACAUCAAAGGACUAUUAAAUUUGCCUGGCUCGGAAUGUGGAAUUUGUUUGGAGUUUUUGGUGAUACAUAUUUAACUUGGGAUUGCCUUCGACAUGAAUUGGAUGCACUGACGUCAUCUGGAGUUUGCUACACGAAUGUCAAAAGGCAGCACAGAUUCCGAUUUGCUAUGGCUCGCUUAGUGAAGCCUAAGAUCCCACCGUCCGAGCCGCCCCUCAUCUCUCCAUGGCAGCCACGUUAAUAAACACCGUAGCAGACGAGCAAUCAUCCGCCGGCAAAUCCACCCCAAAGGAGAAUCAUCAAAAAAUUACGUUGCACGUGAUGGUGUUGGUUUGGUCCCCUACGCCGCUCGAAACGAGACGAACUCAAAAGCCAAGGGGAUAUAUCGAUCGGAAUAGGUUAAAAUCACUUUCGAUGCCUCGCCCGUACACACUGUACGAAGUUCCACUCUCGAUUCGAAAAUCGAUAGCGCGAAAGCCGCUUGAUUUAGGCCGAUAUCAGCGAAGGGAUAAUGUAUGGUAAAGCCAACGAGUACGAGCACGCAUAAACGAUAAGCGGUCUGCCCGUCCGUCCCUUGUAUGCGCGCUCUCGUGUACGAACCGCGAACGCGAGGGAGACGCGAUUUACAUACCAAUUAAAGCGCGCCUCCCUCCUUCUGCUCUUUCAACCAACCCCCACCCGACAUCAUUUUCCUCGACCGUCACUGUACCCGUAAUAAAAUACACGGAUACAGGACACGGUCAUAUAAUAAGCAAUUUGCAUAAGCCCCUUUCGAUUCUGACGCGACCACUUCGUAAAAUCGACGAGACUUUUUAAACGGUUUUUAUCCCGCUACGAUCCUGCGACGAGCGGGAAAUUUUUAUAUGUAAUAAUAACGCGUGAGAUAAAAAUUACGAUUUUUCUCUUCUCGGUUCUUUUCACUCGAAGAAGUACGAUUUCUUAUUUCUUUUUUUCUAAAUGGAUCUUAUGGUAUGUAAGUAAGCGCAAAUUUUAAUAUAAUGAUAUGCGGAAAUGUCGUAUUUAUCAAGAUUAUCGAUAUUAUAAGGAAAGAUAUAUAUAUAUAUGUAUGUAUGUAUGUAUGUAUAUUUUAUAGCUAAGAUUAAAAUCUUGGUCUG